rnacentral:rRNA from 1 species
CCAUGAGAGCGGCGCACGGGUGAGUAACGCGUACACGACCUACCUCUGACAGGGGGAUAGCCCUGGGAAACUGGGAUUAAUACCGCAUAUUAUUCUGAUUAAUAAAGGAUUGGAAUGAAAGUUCAGGCGGUCAGAGAUGGGUGUGCGUCUGAUUAGCUAGUUGGUAGGGUAACGGCCUACCAAGGCGAUGAUCAGUAGGGGGCGUGAGAGCGUGAUCCCCCACACGGGUACUGAGACACGGACCCGACUCCUACGGGAGGCAGCAGUAAGGAAUAUUGGACAAUGGCCGAAAGGCUGAUCCAGCCAUCCAGCGUGCAGGAAGAAGGCCCUAUGGGUUGUAAACUGCUUUUAUCAGGGAAUAAACCUCUGGAUUCACUCCGGAGCUGAAGGUACCUGAAGAAUAAGCACCGGCUAACUCCGUGCCAGCAGCCGCGGUAAUACGGAGGGUGCGAGCGUUAUCCGGAAUUACUGGGUUUAAAGGGUGCGUAGGCGGCUUUGUAAGUCAGGAGUGAAAGUUUGCAGCUCAACUGUAAAAUUGCUUUUGAUACUG